CCAAUAGCGUAUAUUAAAGUUGUUGCAGUUAAAAAGCUCGUAGUUGAAUUUCGAGAUCAAAUUGUUGGUCGUGCCUCGGUACGUACUGGCAUUAUUGAUUUCUCCCUUCUGAAGAACCACGAUGUCAUUAAUUUGGUGUCGUGGGGAAUCAGGACUGUUACUUUGAAAAAAUUAGAGUGUUUAAAGCAGGCUCACGCUUGAAUACAUUAGCAUGGAAUAAUGAAAUAGGACGUUUGAUUCUAUUUUGUUGGUUUCUAGGAUCGACGUAAUGAUUAAUAGGGAUAGUUGGGGGCAUUAGUAUUCAAUUGUCAGAGGUGAAAUUCUUGGAUUUAUUGAAGACUAACUACUGCGAAAGCAUUUGCCAAGGAUGUUUUCAUUAAUCAAGAACGAAAGUUAGGGGAUCGAAGACGAUCAGAUACCGUCGUAGUCUUAACCAUAAACUAUGCCGACUAGGGAUCGGAUGAUGUUAAUUUUUUAAUGACUCGUUCGGCGCCUUAC
rnacentral:rRNA from 1 species